GGUCCUGACUUUACUGUCAGCUUUGACUAAACUUACACAUGCAAGUAUCCGCCCUCCCGUGAGAAUGCCCCACAGUUCUCCGUUCGAGAACAAGGAGCCGGUAUCAGGCCCGCCCAAUUCCAGCCCAUAACACCUUGCUUAGCCACACCCUCAAGGGACCCCAGCAGUGAUAGACAUUAAGCCAUAAGUGAAAACUUGACUUAGUUAAAGCCAAAAGGGCCGGUAAAACUCGUGCCAGCCACCGCGGUUAUACGAGAGGCCCAAGUUGACAGACACCGGCGUAAAGAGUGGUUAAGGACAAACUCCAAAACUAAAGCCGAACGCCCUCAGAACCGUUAUACGUACCCGAAGGUAAGAAGCCCCCCUACGAAAGUGGCUUUACUCUGCCCGACCCCACGAAAGCUGCGAAACAAACUGGGAUUAGAUACCCCACUAUGCCCAGCCCUAAACUUUGAUAGUCUGCUACACCCACUAUCCGCCCGGGAACUACGAGCAUUAGCUUAAAACCCAAAGGACUUGGCGGUGCUUUAGAUCCACCUAGAGGAGCCUGUUCUAGAACCGAUAACCCCCGUUAAACCUCACCCUCUCUUGCCUUUCCCGCCUAUAUACCGCCGUCGUCAGCUUACCCUGUGAAGGCCAAAUAGUAAGCAAAAUUAGCACACCCCAAAACGCCAGGUCGAGGUGUAGCACAUGAGAGGGGAAGAAAUGGGCUACAUUCCCUGCCCCAGGGAAUACGAAUAAUGUAAUGAAACGUACAUUAGAAGGAGGAUUUAGCAGUAAAUAAGAAAUAGAGUGUCUUGCUGAAACCGGCCCUGAAGCGCGCACACACCGCCCGU
rnacentral:ncRNA from 1 species